rnacentral:rRNA from 1 species
CUCGUAGGCGGCCAACUAAGUCAGACGUGAAAUCUCUCGGCUUAACCGGGGAACUGCGUCUGAUACUGGAUGGCUUGAGUAUGGGAGAGGGAUGCGGAAUUCCAGGUGUAGCGGUGAAAUGCGUAGAUAUCUGGAGGAACACCGGUGGCGAAGGCGGCAUCCUGGACCAUCACUGACGCUGAGGAGCAAAGCCAGGGAGCAAC